GCCAGGGUGGCGUAGUGGAUAGCGCAUUUGCCUCGUGAGCAGAAGACCAGGGUUCGAAUCCUGGCUUUGGUA